CAUUUUAAUAAACCAGGAAGGUAGUCAUUGACCAGUGAAGACGUAUAAGAUUAUCCACGAGCGACGAAGUUGUCUAAAAGAAUUAUUUGCGGAGAACUUCGGAGACAGUCCUUCCAGCAAGAUGUUGUCCAGUUUCCUUGUGUGCACCAUGGUCGUGAUGGCUGGAGCAGUGGCCGUGACCAAGCCCGCCAUGCCUAGGGCCUAUGAUGUGUUCAGAAGCCUGCCCAAACGAGUUGGUAGCACCGAAGACCAUGAACACCAUGUGCCUUGUGAACCUCCUCCCUACUUCACUUUCGAUGAAGUCGACAUGUUGACUUCGGUGGAAGAGGGCAGCCUUCUGCUCGAGUACCUUAAUUUCGAGGGAGCGUAUGACGACAUAUCCAAGAAAUAUGCAGCGAAGAUAUUUGAGGAUUUCUUCAAUGGAACUGAGUACUCUUUCAAAGUGAUUGAAGACUACAAAAAGGGUGUACGGUAUGAAAUAUACACGGGCGGAGAUGAAGUGGUGUGCAUUGCAAUUGAAGUCGAAGGAAAAGGGUUCCCGGAGCAGUAUUUCAUUCCAUACUCGGCCAAAUACGAAGGAGAGGCAGUCAUAGGCGAUCGUGAUCUUGUUACGGAUAGCUGGCUCGAGACGAGCUUAGGUGUACACACCGUGAAGACUGUGACUCACGGAGAUUGCGUACCAGUGUCAAUCGAACGCCGUUUUUUCGACCCAGAAACUGAUCAGCAAACUGAGUUCCUCGAUAAUCGACUCUUCAAUUUCGAACUUGGUAUCUGUGACCGAGACAAGUACUUCAAAGUCCCCGAAGAGUGCCAACAGGGUAAUGCUUUGAAGGAGCCCACUGAAGAGAUGCAGAAGCAUAUCCAGAAGCUGCGAAGAUUCCGUAAAUUGUGAUUUGGCUUGAUGAAGGCUUCGUCGAGUCAUGCGCAAUCAAGCCACAUUUCUGUGAUCCUAUAAACGUCAUGUUAACGUAGAAGAUUGUAGCUCAAAAGUAUACUGGCUUCGGUCUGACUUGUUGUAACAGUUAUUUGACUAUCACAAAGGUACUGUUUUUUUUUCAGAAGAAUAUAAUGAUAUCCUAGACGUGAGUAAGUGCUAUCACAUGAGUCCACACAUAGACAGAAUUAAACAAAGACCAGCCAUUGCUGGAUGCAUCGUUACCCCUCCAAACGGAGGGAGGCAUCACGGGGGAGGAUCCAUCGUCUGGGGUUCUGCACCGCACUGUACCGAACUCGCAUGUUGUUAUACUCCAUUGCUCAAUUCAAACUGCGAACGGCUUAUUCCGAGUUAGUAAUAGGCACAUUUCAUUUUUCUCAGAAACCUAACAGAGAGUUUGACCAAAAGAGUCACUGUUGUUAAACUUAAGCCUUAUUUGUGAGAAUUUUGUUUAAGACUGGCAUUAUAUUGACAUAAUCGGUUUUUGUUUAAACAUCUGGUUUAAAAUUAAUUUCAUUUUACUGCUAAUGUCGAUGUGUGAACAAGACAAACCAAGAAGUGAAAUGAUUAACACUUGAUUUUGUAUUAAAGGGGCUUUCGGUCAACUAACAUUAAAUAAAACAUACAGCAGGAAACAUGGA
rnacentral:misc_RNA from 1 species